ensembl:lncRNA
GCCUUUAGAAGCCUGGGUUGAUGUGCCCACCUUUGGUAUUUCUGCAGGAGUGCUGCCACAUUCCCAUGUCAUUUUGCAGGUAAGGAUCACUCCUGUGUAAGUGACACUGUGCAAAUGUCACCUUGCUAAGGUCACUGCCAUGGCUCCUUCAGCAGUUAAAAUGUCAGAAACACAAAGGCACUGCUGAAUCCAAAGCCUGAAAUUCAUCCCUUUGCACAGCACAGCCCCUCACCCCAUACCCUCUACAAGAGGAAGAGGUGCAGGGAGGGCAGGAGAGAGGGAAAAGCAGGGAGAGGGGCAGAGAGAUAGAGGAGAGAAGGAGAAAAGAGAGAAAAAAAUAUCUCCAUUUGACAGGGCUAUUUAGCAGUAUUUUGGAAGCCAAAGUGCCUCCUGUGAAUAACACACACAAUGCACUUUUGAAAAACCAGAAAUGUACAUGUAGUUCCUUGGCAAUUGGAAAUAAUAGUCAAUAUAGGAAAAAACAGAUUUUGGAGCAUAUGUUUUUGAACUCCCUAGAAACUGCAGCUUUUCUAUUUUUUUUUUCCAGGUCACCAAUUUAUUAUGCAGAGGCUGUUGCUUGCUAGUGCGCACAGUCCUGAGUCAAAAUAAAGAAUAAGGAAAAAAACCACCCCUCUCUCUCAGCAGAAAAGUCUGACAGUAAUAAAGGGCUUAAAAAACAAACUUCUUGUUUCUUCACCAGUGGCUUCAAAAAGGAGAUUAGGAAGUACAUAAAAUCCCUGUUUUGCUUUUCCCUCUCACUCAGCAAGUUUGCAUCUGAGAGAGCCUCUGAAAACCCAUUUAAGAAGUUCCAAGUUUGAAAUUCCAAGUCUAAGUAAAAUUCAGGUCAUUUGCAAGAAUUUCUUGGUCUCUGGAAACAUCUGAAUUCUCACCUGUAAUACAAAGAAGGAGCUGAGGUGUCUGCCUUCUGUGCUGGACCAUCUUCCCCACCUUGACUGGGGAGGCCCUUGUGCUACCUGUGGACAUCAGAAAUGUCACCCUGCUCCCAGCUGGGAGCUGCCAGGAGCUGCCUCUGCCCGUGGACAAAUUGCACUUUGGGCAGCCUCAGGGACAUUGGCACAAGAGCUGGAAACCCUUCCUGCUGCACUUUGGCUUCCUCCACUCCUGGUGACAGAAACAGCCCAGCAACUGCAGUGUCUGUGCCAGGAACAUGAGCCAGAGCACACAGGGGCUUGUUCUGUGCCUCAUAAAGAUGCCGCUAUCUUAUUCCAGCAAGGCUUUCCUGAAGGAGUAUUUGGAUUUUGGUGCAGUGUCUGGCUAGCUGUCAGACAAGGAGCCUGACUGGCAGCUUGAAGGAGUGUGUUUGCACAGCUUGACAGGUGAAUCCAGCUUCAGCAGCCAAGUGCUGCUUCCUUGACAUCCCCCCAGAGCCCUCAACGCCAGAGCAAGUCUGGCUGCACAGCUCUGAGCCCGGCACAGGAGGGCUCGCAGAGAAACUAAUGCAGGUGGAUCCACUGAUCUCCGAACAAAAAUUUGCGUUGGUGCCCCUGCCAUGGAGGGAAUCGAAGCUACACUCACCUACUUAGACCUGCUAAAAUCUGUUAAAUUAAAAUUGCAGAGGGAAGAGAGGAGCUGUGCUGCAAUUGCUAAGCAGUUUUCAUCUAGUAGUAUUGUAAGAGCACCCAGUUAGAAUAGGCCUAGGGCAGUGUUUCUGAGAAGGUAAAUGAGCACUAACACACACACUGGAGUUGUGUGUUCACUGAAACCUGUGCCAGCACACAGAGCCCACCAGGAAACACUGCCAUGGGAGCACAGAGCUGCUGCACCAGCUCCCACAAGAGAAGUGUGCCAAUGCCUCAGAGAAAAACUAUAAGAUGCUACUCUCAGUUUCAGCACAACAGCAGAAAAUCUUGAUUGUGGAAACUAUUCUUUGUGCUAAUGUGUCAGCAUUACAUUCUGUGUGAAUUCCCAAUUAGCCACAAUUUUUGUAUGAAAAUACACUUUCAGUUAUAUAAACCGAAGUAAUGAGCAAUAAGAAAACAUAUUGUCUAACAUCAGUAGAUGCCAAAUGUUUAGACAUUUUAGCGGAUACCUGCCUCAUUAUGUGUUUUAGCUGUGACUUGCCAGGAUUGCUACAGAUUUUAUAUUUCAUCUCUGUUGAUUCUCAAAUAUCUACCAUUACUAUGUCCUAAGCAAGGCUAUUGAUUGCUCAGUCUUGUCUAUUUUAUAAAAAAAAAGCAAGAUUCCUGUUCAUAAAAAUAUGGUAAGAUCUCCAAAGAUAAAGAGUUAAGGGAGAUGUAUCUUACUAGGCUUGAGCUGUGUGUGUGCAAACCUCAUGAAGUUCAAAAAGUACCGUCUAUUCAAACUGGCAUUUAAAACUUAAAAUCUGAACAAAAAAGCCCCAAAACCCACAAGAAGCAGCCGAAUUUUGUUACAAAGCAUAGCUAGAAACCUGUAUUUACUGUCAGCAAGCUGUAAGACUUCCUCAGAAAUUGUUCUAAAUCUGGGCUAAUAAUUUGAGUACUGACAGUAAUAUUGUAAAGAGACAACCCAAAUAAUACACACAGAGAAAAUUUUCUGGUUUGAGGUGUAUUAAAAAUCAACUGUUCUACUGAGGCUAUACAUAUACAUCCCAUAAAUAACAAUAUAGUCUUGGAAUUUGCUGUCAAUUAGAGAUGAGCAAAUAAAUACAAUCCUUUACUGAUGUUUAAGGGCA